GGGUGAGUAAUACAUCGGAACGUACCCAGUAAUGGGGGAUAACACACCGAAAGGUGUGCUAAUACCGCAUACGCCCUGAGGGGGAAAGGGGGGGAUCGCAAGACCUCUCGUUAUUGGAGCGGCCGAUGGCGGAUUAGCUAGUUGGUGAGGUAAAGGCUCACCAAGGCGACGAUCCGUAGCUGGUCUGAGAGGACGACCAGCCACACUGGAACUGAGACACGGUCCAGACUCCUACGGGAGGCAGCAGUGGGGAAUUUUGGACAAUGGGGGCAACCCUGAUCCAGCCAUUCCGCGUGAGUGAAGAAGGCCUUCGGGUUGUAAAGCUCUUUCGGCAGGAACGAAACGGCGCGCUCUAACAUAGCGUGUCAAUGACGGUACCUGAAGAAGAAGCACCGGCUAACUACGUGCCAGCAGCCGCGGUAAUACGUAGGGUGCGAGCGUUAAUCGGAAUUACUGGGCGUAAAGCGUGCGCAGGCGGUUCUAUAAGACAGAUGUGAAAUCCCCGGGCUUAACCUGGGAACUGCGUUUGUGACUGUAGGACUCGAGUGUGGCAGAGGGGGGUGGAAUUCCACGUGUAGCAGUGAAAUGCGUAGAGAUGUGGAGGAACACCGAUGGCGAAGGCAGCCCCCUGGGUCAACACUGACGCUCAUGCACGAAAGCGUGGGUAGCAAACAGGAUUAGAUACCCUGGUAGUCCACGCCCUAAACGAUGCCAACUAGGUGUUGGGGAAGGAGACUUCCUUAGUAUCGUAGCUAACGCGUGAAGUUGGCCGCCUGGGGAGUACGGUCGCAAGAUUAAAACUCAAAGGAAUUGACGGGGACCCGCACAAGCGGUGGAUGAUGUGGAUUAAUUCGAUGCAACGCGAAAAACCUUACCUACCCUUGACAUGUCAGGAAUCCUGCUGAGAGGUGGGAGUGCCCGAAAGGGAACCUGAACACAGGUGCUGCAUGGCUGUCGUCAGCUCGUGUCGUGAGAUGUUGGGUUAAGUCCCGCAACGAGCGCAACCCUUGUCGCUAAUUGCCAUCAUUCAGUUGGGCACUUUAGCGAGACUGCCGGUGACAAACCGGAGGAAGGUGGGGAUGACGUCAAGUCCUCAUGGCCCUUAUGGGUAGGGCUUCACACGUCAUACAAUGGUCGGUACAGAGGGUUGCCAAGCCGCGAGGUGGAGCCAAUCCCACAAAGCCGAUCGUAGUCCGGAUCGCAGUCUGCAACUCGACUCCAUGAAGUCGGAAUCGCUAGUAAUCGCGGAUCAGCAUGUCGCGGUGAAU
rnacentral:rRNA from 1 species